AAAACAUAUACGAACGUUUACCAACACUGGAUAACAUAUGUUUCAUUUUUUACAACAAAACAAAAAAAAAUUGGUAUAGUAAAAACAGCGGGGCUUAACUGCGAUCCGUAUGUCGGGCGGUCGCACGAGCAAGGUUUCCCCCCCUGUUUGCCAAUGGUCUACUGCGGAUUGGCAAUCCCCACUACUAUAAGAAAAGUAGACCAUUCCG